CUCUCCUGGGGUAUUUUAACUAGCUCUUACAGGUGGGGAGUUUGACUGGGGCAGUACACCUGUCAAAGCGUAACGCAGGUGUCGGAAACCUCCCGUGGAGCAGAAUGCCAAAAGCUCGCUUGAUCUUGAUUUUCAGUACGAAUACAGACCGUGAAAGCAGGGCCUCACGAUCCUUCUGGCUUUUUGGGUUUUAAGUAGGAGGUGUCAGAAAAGUUACCACAGCGAUAACUGGCUUGUGGCAGCCAAGCGUUCAUAGCGACGCCGCUUUUUGAUCCUUUAGGCUCUUCCUAUCAUUGUGAAGCAGAAUUCACCAAGCGUUGGAUAGUUCAUCCACUAAUAGGGAACGUGAGCUGGGUUUAGACCAUCAUGAGACAGGUUAGUU
rnacentral:ncRNA from 1 species